rnacentral:rRNA from 1 species
CCUACGGGCGGCAGCAGUGGGGAAUAUUGGGCAAUGGGCGCAAGCCUGACCCAGCAACGCCGCGUGAAGGCAGAAGGCUUUCGGGUUGUAAACUUCUUUUCUCAGGGACGAAGCAAGUGACGGUACCUGAGGAAUAAGCCACGGCUAACUACGUGCCAGCAGCCGCGGUAAUACGUAGGUGGCAAGCGUUAUCCGGAUUUACUGGGCGUAAAGGGCGCGUAGGCGGGACAGCAAGUCAGAUGUGAAACCCAUGGGCUCAACCUGUGGCUUGCAUUUGAAACUGUUUAUCUUGAGUCCUGGAGAGGCAGAUGGAAUUCCAAGUGUAGCGGUGAAAUGCGUAGAUAUUAGGAGGAACACCAGUGGCGAAGGCGGUCUGCUGGACAGCAACUGACGCUGAGGUGCGAAAGCGUGGGGAGCAAACAGGAUUAGAUACCCUAGUAGUC